GAGAGACCGUGUCAUUGGCCACACCCACUACACUAACUUUGCCACCGCUGCAGAAAAACAUAUUUGGGGAAACACUAUUUUAUGCCAUCAAUUAUGUCUCCUAAUACACAUCACAUGGGACCUGAUAGGUCAUUAUACAGAUCAGUAUAGAGGACCUGAUAGGUCAUUAUACAGAUCAGUAUAGAGGACCUGAUAGGUCAUUAUACAGUUCAGUAAUGAGGACCUGAUAGGUCAUUAUACAGAUCAGUAUAGAGGACCUGAUAGGUCAUUAUACAGAUCAGUAAUGAGGACCUGAUAGGUCAUUAUACAGAUCAGUAUAGAGGACCUGAUAGGUCAUUAUACAGAUCAGUAUAGAGGACCUGAUAGGUCGUUAUACAGAUCAGUAUAGAGGACCUGAUAGGUCAUUAUACAGAUCAGUAAUGAGGACCUGAUAGGUCAUUAUACAGUUCAGUAUAGAGGACCUGAUAGGUCAUUAUACAGAUCAGUAAUGAGGACCUGAUAGGUCAUUAUACAGAUCAGUAAUGAGGACCUGAUAGGUCAUUAUACAGAUCAGUAUAGAGGACCUGAUAGGUCAUUAUACAGUUCAGUAAUGAGGACCUGAUAGGUCAUUAUACAGAUCAGUAUAGAGGACCUGAUAGGUCAUUAUACAGUUCAGUAUAGAGGACCUGAUAGGUCAUUAUACAGAUCAGUAAUGAGGACCUGAUAGGUCAUUAUACAGAUCAGUAAUGAGGACCUGAUAGGUCAUUAUACAGAUCAGUAUAGAGGACCUGAUAGGUCAUUAUACAGUUCAGUAUAGAGGACCUGAUAGGUCAUUAUACAGUUCAGUAAUGAGGACCUGAUAGGUCAUUAUACAGAUCAGUAAUGAGGACCUGAUAGGUCAUUAUACAGUUCAGUAUAGAGGACCUGAUAGGUCGUUAUACAGAUCAGUAUAGAGGACCUGAUAGGUCAUUAUACAGAUCAGUAUAGAGGACCUGAUAGGUCAUUAUACAGAUCAGUAUAGAGGACCUGAUAGGUCAUUAUACAGAUCAGUAAUGAGGACCUGAUAGGUCAUUAUACAGAUCAGUAUAGAGGACCUGAUAGGUCAUUAUACAGUUCAGUAAUGAGGACCUGAUAGGUCAUUAUACAGAUCAGUAAUGAGGACCUGAUAGGUCAUUAUACAGAUCAGUAUAGAGGACCUGAUAGGUCAUUAUACAGAUCAGUAAUGAGGACCUGAUAGGUCAUUAUACAGAUCAGUAUAGAGGACCUGAUAGGUCGUUAUACAGAUCAGUAUA